UACGUAGGGUGCAAGCGUUGUCCGGAAUUAUUGGGCGUAAAGGGCUCGUAGGCGGUCCAUCGCGUCGGGAGUGAAAAGCUGGGGCUUAACCCCAGUCCUGCUUCCGAUACGGGUGGACUAGAGGUAGGUAGGGGAGAACGGAAUUCCUGGUGUAGCGGUGAAAUGCGCAGAUAUCAGGAGGAACACCGGUGGCGAAGGCGGUUCUCUGGGCCUUACCUGACGCUGAGGAGCGAAAGCAUGGGGAACAAACAGG
rnacentral:rRNA from 1 species